rnacentral:rRNA from 1 species
UACGUAGGGUGCGAGCGUUGUCCGGAAUUACUGGGCGUAAAGAGCUCGUAGGUGGUUUGUCGCGUUGUUCGUGAAAACUCACAGCUCAACUGUGGGCGUGCGGGCGAUACGGGCAGACUGGAGUACUGCAGGGGAGACUGGAAUUCCUGGUGUAGCGGUGGAAUGCGCAGAUACCAGGAGGAACACCGGUGGCGAAGGCGGCUCUCUGGGACGGUACUGACACUGAGACGCGAAAGCGUGGGGAGCGAACAGG